GACGAACGCUGGCGGCGUGCUUAACACAUGCAAGUCGAACGGAAAGGCCCUGCUUUUGUGGGGUGCUCGAGUGGCGAACGGGUGAGUAACACGUGAGUAACCUGCCCUUGACUUUGGGAUAACUUCAGGAAACUGGGGCUAAUACCGGAUAGGAGCUCCUGCUGCAUGGUGGGGGUUGGAAAGUUUCGGCGGUUGGGGAUGGACUCGCGGCUUAUCAGCUUGUUGGUGGGGUAGUGGCUUACCAAGGCUUUGACGGGUAGCCGGCCUGUGAGGGUGACCGGCCACAUGGGGACUGCGAUACGGCCCAGACUCCUACGGGCGGCAGCAGUGGGGAAUAUUGCACAAUGGGCGGAAGCCUGAUGCAGCAACGCCGCGUGCGGGAUGACGGCCUUCGGGUUGUAAACCGCUUUCGCCUGUGACGAAGCGUGAGUGACGGUAAUGGGUAAAGAAGCACCGGCUAACUACGUG
rnacentral:rRNA from 1 species